CCCGACUGCUAUCAGAGUGGGACUAAGCCAUGCGAGUCGACAUAGCAAUAUGUGGCAUACGGCUCAGUAACACGUAGUCAACAUGCCCAGGGGACGUGGAUAACCUCGGGAAACUGAGGAUAAACCGCGAUAGGUCAUCACUUCUGGAAUGGGUAAUGACUUAAACCUAUAUGGCCCCUGGAUUGGACUGCGGCCGAUCAGGCUGUUGGUGAGGUAAUGGCCCACCAAACCUGUAACCGGUACGGGCUCUGAGAGGAGGAGCCCGGAGAUGGGCACUGAGACAAGGGCCCAGGCCCUAUGGGGCGCAGCAGGCGCGAAACCUCUGCAAUAGGCGAAAGCUUGACAGGGUUACUCUGAGUGAUUUCCGUUAAGGAGAUCUUUUGGCACCUCUAAAAAUGGUGCAGAAUAAGGGGUGGGCAAGUCUGGUGUCAGCCGCCGCGGUAAUACCAGCACCCCGAGUGGUCGGGACGAUUAUUGGGCCUAAAGCAUCCGUAGCCGGUUCUACAAGUCUUCCGUUAAAUCCACCUGCUUAACAGAUGGGCUGCGGAGGAUACUAUAGAGCUAGGAGGCGGGAGAGGCAAGCGGUACUUAGUGGGUAGGGGUAAAAUCCGUUGAUCCACUGAAGACCACCAGUGGCGAAGGCGGCUUGCCAGAACGCACUCGACGGUGAGGGAUGAAAGCUGGGGGAGCAAACCGGAUUAGAUACCCGGGUAGUCCCAGCUGUAAACGAUGCAGACUCGGUGAUGCAUUGGCUUGUGGCCAGUGCAGUGCUGCAGGGAAGCCGUUAAGUCUGCCGCCUGGGGAGUACGGUCGCAAGACUGAAACUUAAAGGAAUUGGCGGGGGAGCACCACAAGGGGUGAAGCCUGCGGUUCAAUUGGAGUCAACGCCAGAAAUCUUACCCGGAGAGACAGCAGAAUGAAGGUCAAGCUGAAGACUUUACCAGACAAGCUGAGAGGUGGUGCAUGGCCGUCGCCAGCUCGUGCCGUGAGAUGUCCUGUUAAGUCAGGUAACGAGCGAGAUCCCUGCCUCUAGUUGCCACCAUUACUCUCAGGAGUAGUGGGGCGAAUUAGCGGGACCGCCGCAGUUAAUGCGGAGGAAGGAAGGGGCCACGGCAGGUCAGUAUGCCCCGAAACUCUGGGGCCACACGCGGGCUGCAAUGGUAAUGACAAUAGGUUCCGAAUCCGAAAGGAGGAGGUAAUCCCUAAACAUUACCACAGUUAUGACUGAGGGCUGCAACUCGCCCUCACGAAUAUGGAAUCCCUAGUAACUGCGUGUCAUUAUCGCGCGGUGAAUACGUCCCUGCUCCU
rnacentral:rRNA from 1 species